rnacentral:rRNA from 1 species
UACGUAGGGCGCAAGCGUUGUCCGGAAUUAUUGGGCGUAAAGAGCUCGUAGGCGGUGUGUCGCGUCGGAUGUGAAAGCCCGGGGCUUAACCCCGGGUCUGCAUUCGAUACGGGCAGACUGGAGUGUGGUAGGGGAGAUCGGAAUUCCUGGUGUAGCGGUGAAAUGCGCAGAUAUCAGGAGGAACACCGGUGGCGAAGGCGGAUCUCUGGGCCAUUACUGACGCUGAGGAGCGAAAGCGUGGGGAGCGAACAGG